UCCCUGGUGGUCCAGUGGCUAAGACUCUGUGCUUCCAAUGCAGGGGCCCAGGUUUAAUCCCUGGUCAGAGAA
rnacentral:tRNA from 1 species